CUAAUGCACUUUUCGCCUUUUUGACAUCUUCGGCCUCUCCGAAGCAUACCAACACGACCCUUGGUCGAUUUUGGAAGAAGUCCAACUCUCGUAUUUCGAGAAUUCAUUUCCUUAUAUAGAGUCUCCCCUAUAUUCGCACGGCAUCGCACAAGUACAAGAUACAACCACAAGUAUGAACAUCCACAUACAAACACCAUUCACAUUCGUCACAGAUAUUCAUAAAUCCACAUCUAUUAGUUUAAAACGUUUCCCACUCAGAAACUUAUUUUGAAAUGCUAAGAAUUACGAAAACCAGCAAACCCUUUUUAAAACCGUUUUCCACACGAAAACCUUUUCUUUUAAAACACGCUAUCUCGAGGGGUAAAAAACUAUUUUCAUCUCAUGAAAAUCAUCAAUUCUUUAUUACAUUAACAAAAUCUUAUUUAUCCAAUUAAAUGAAAGCCAACUGAACUAUAAUGUCUAA
rnacentral:lncRNA from 1 species